rnacentral:rRNA from 1 species
UACGUAGGCAGCAAGCGUUGUUCGGAGUUACUGGGCGUAAAGGGUGUGUAGGUGGCCUGUUAAGUUCCGUGUGAAAUCUCCCGGCUCAACCGGGAGGGUGCGCGGAAAACUGGCGGGCUAGAGUACGGGAUGGGAGAGUAGAAUUCCUGGUGUAGCGGUGAAAUGCGUAGAUAUCAGGAGGAACACCUGUGGCGAAAGCGGCUCACUGGACCAUAACUGACGCUGAUGCACGAAAGCUAGGGGAGCAAACAGG